AUUCAAAAACUAACGGAUUGGUUUCGAAC
rnacentral:sRNA from 1 species